rnacentral:lncRNA from 1 species
AUAGGCCUCGCUGGGGACAUCCUUCACAGGACUCCACUCCGCUAGGGGAUUCCACUUGGGAAGCAAACACUACUCAGCUGGGGAAGCUGACACUAAGCAGCUCUUCAGGGAUGAUACUCAUUGAGGAGUAACAAGAUCACUUUACCAGAGAUUGAUAAAGCGACUUCACUGGGGAAGACUUAACCAAACCUCAGGUAGGACCACUCUGCUUUGGGGAAUAACCACUACUCCCCUGGGGACGAUCC